rnacentral:lncRNA from 1 species
CACAGGCCCUGGGGUCAGAGACAGACGUGCCCAGGAGCAGGCACAGGGGAUAAAAACACCCGGAUUCCUGGAGAGAUCAUGGACCCCAGACCCAGUUUCUGCAGUAAUAUUUGUCCAGCGGUGGAAUUUUAAACAAUGCUGUCUUACCCAGGGGGCUCAGUUCACCUGGACAAGGUACGGUGGACAGAAGAAUAUUACCCAGGUGCGGGAGCUGGGGUGGACUCACGGUGCGGAGGCUCAGCUGGGAGAGAACUGUGCACCUCAGCAGACCGGGUGUAAUCAGCCUAAGCAGUGAGGGUUUCUCUUUUUCUAAAGGAGUGUGGUCCAGGACGUGUGAUCAAGGGAGGUUUGAGGUGACUAUGGCGUGACUCUUUUGUUCAAUGAACUCUGCACACACUAGUAUUGGAGAAGGUCUCUGUCCU